rnacentral:rRNA from 1 species
UACGAAGGGGGCUAGCGUUGCUCGGAAUGACUGGGCGUAAAGGGCGCGUAGGCGGAUGACACAGUCAGAUGUGAAAUUCCCGGGCUCAACCUGGGGGCUGCAUUUGAUACAUGUUGUCUUGAGUUCGGAAGAGGGUCGUGGAAUUCCCAGUGUAGAGGUGAAAUUCGUAGAUAUUGGGAAGAACACCGGUGGCGAAGGCGGCGACCUGGUCCGAUACUGACGCUGAGGCGCGAAAGCGUGGGGAGCAGACAGG